GGACGGGGUCCUCCUGGGGGAGAGGGUGCGCGCCGUCAGGCUCCGGCGGGAGAAAAACCCCCUCCCGCUCCCCCGCUCGGGAGCCGUUAACGGCCCGCGCGCAGCGCAAGUACGGCCCCCAGCGGGCCCGGCGCCCUCAGCGCUCCCACCGGCGGCGGCGGCAGCGCAGCCCGCGGCUCCGGGCGACACCCGCCGGCCGCGGUGCCCGUUCGCAGGCCGGUAGCCGCAGCUCGCCUGCCCGCCACAGCAUCGUCCCGGCUGCCCACGGCCGGGGCCGACCCCUUACCAGCGCGGAGGCCAUGGGCGGAGCGGGACACCGCAGCAACGGUAGCUGCCGGAGCGGAACGGAGCGGCGGCCCGUCAAACCCCCCGCGCUCCAGGCGCAGCCGGCCGAGCCCCGAAUUCGUCCGCGGCGCCAACACCGCGUCCUUCCAUCCGCCCAUUGGCCGGCCGCCCCGCGGGGGGCGGGGCCGCAGAGCCGCCUAUCGGUCGUGUAGGUGCUCGACUCCCUCUUAAAGGCACAGAACAGCAGCUCCCCUCGCGUUUCCUGGCAACCGUUCCUGGGUCCCGCCUGGGCCGCCGCCCCCCGGGGGCCCUGAGGCGCCGCGACUGGCGUGGCUGCAGGCGGAGUGCGCUUUCGCCUGCCUGCCACUGCCUGUCCUUGGGGGCCUUUUCCUGCGGGUUAGCCAAAAGCAAACCUGAAAGAAGAAAAAACUUUAAAGUUAGUGGAAGAUCUGGCCCGCGUCACCUCGAUUUUGUGACUUAUCAAUCGAUGCAGGGUAGCCCUGUUGAACACCUCAGGUGGAUUUUGUAUUAAGCCACUGACGUGCGGAAACAGACUCCACAACCCAUAAUCAAUACCAGUGAUGUCUGCUGCAUUGCCAGUAACAUGGUUGCUGGGGCACUGGGAGCCACAGAGGGGAUUAUCCUUCUGCUUGAGUUUUGCUGUCCAGAGACCAGCCCAUGCAGCCAAUAGCAUCCUACAAGCAUCAGCCUGCAGCAGCAGUUUACCCAGGAGUGGUUCCGGUGUGGUUCACCACACUGUCACAGCAGCUGUUGAAAUGGCACAACUGAGGGGAUGCUGCAGGAAGAGAGGAGAGGAGCAGAGGAGGCAACCUGAGCCAGCAUCGUGGACUACAAUCCUGCUGUGUGAAAGGCUCAGUUGCAACCUGAUCCCACCCCCUGCAACCAGGCAGAGCAAUUUGCUCAGAAAGGUACAAUUUUCAGAGAAUUUUGCUGAACAACGCACAAGGCUGACUAUACAGAUACUUAACAGGUUGCAACUUGUCCAUGCUUUCCACUACGGUAGCAAAAGACAUCCCCAGCACCAGAAGAUCACCCCGACAAGUGUCAAAGCUUGUUCAAAAGCUUGGAGAUGAUAGAGUAUCAUCAGCAAUAAACAUUAACAGAAAAAUAACACUUCCCCCUCGAAUUCCAUUCUUUAAAAUGGCUAGGCCCUUUUAUUUCAUAACAUUAUUCUGGCCCCCCCCCCCCCCCAAACCUCUUGAGCUGUAUAAUUUUAUUUGGGUGGUUAGUGGUUAAAUGUAUUUCUCCAUGAAGUUUCCUCAAAGGCCUGAUUUCUAAGUUACAGUACAACCAUCAAGCCUUGCAAGACUGAAACAAGGCAAGAAAGCCACAGGAGCACUUGUUUUGUAUUUGGCAAUAUCUCAAACGUCGUCAGUUUGGAAAUAACUGCCUACAGCUUAACUGUUGAACUUGGAUUGAUUUUAAGUGCAACAUUUCAAACUGGGUUUAUGAUGGCAUACAGGAGUAUGUUUCAGUGUUUCAGUCUUUCUGACAAUGAUUGCCAGAGAUCAAGCAUGACUUUGGAAAACAAACACCGAGGAGUCUAUCGGUUGAGCUGAUUGCCUUCGGGGACAGUAAUGAAGAGCAUACUACUUUACAUCAUCUUUCAAGUGGUAUUUUAUCAGCUCACAAUUCUCAUCCAGUGAUCAAAAAGCCUGUAGCACUUCUUCAUUCCAACAUAUAAAAUAUAGAUUGUGUUGAUUGGUAUCAAGCUGACACAUGAUCAUUUAGUUGAUAGUCAGACUUGCACUGUUUGUGGCCCUUUUCUCAAAAGAAUGAAGUCAGUGAGAGUUAAAGCUGUAAUAAUUGUAUUCAAGUGUUGACAUGCCUGAGGAAUGGCUGGGGACCCCUGCUAUCCCAAGCUCUUUUAAAAUGGCAGUUCAGAAUACUUUUAACCUCCUGCUGUAGGGUUUAGUUCAUCUUUUGUUGAAACAUUAAUACUUUUGAAAUUAAACUUGCUGCAAUAUACUGGCCCUGCAGAAGAAAAUUCAAAUUAUUUCUGCACCUUUAAGGUAGAAAGCCAGAACAGAGCAUAUUAAGAUUUAGUGGUAUAGGCACUCCCCCACAUCUUCUAAACAUACUUAUUUUAAAUCUGUUUUAGUUUCAUAAGCAAUGUGUUAUCUAUAACAAAAAAAAAAAGGCUAUGACAACUGUUUUGCAGAAACUCAGCUAUUUUUUCAAUAGUUAGAAUGUCAAAUUUCUAUUUGAAACACCUCACAUUACUCUAACAUUUGUUCAGCCAGCCAGCUAGUUUCAUUCUACAGCUUAUACAUGGAAUAUUUGACAGAAGCUUUUUCCUAUUACAUCCUUUUUAAGACCAGAAUGGCAGUUUUGUAAUGUCAGGCUUCCUACAUUAACAUUUAAAGUUUUAUAUGCAGUUAUCUGAGAACCAGUAAAAAGGGACUCCAAAUCUGAUAUAACACUAAGUUCUCCAAGUGUAACAAAGCAUUUCUGUAACUCAAGGCAAAAGAGGGAGCAUUUGAAUGUAGCAGCAGAACUGAUGUUGCAUUUAAUUUAAUUUCACUGAUACUUUGCUCAAUUAGAUAAAAGCCUGUAACAGCACCAUGCCAUGAACUAAGUCAAGGAGAAAAGUCACCUUCUCAAUUUCAUUUAAAUUAUAGGUUUCUAUGAUUGAAAAAAAAAAAUUUCAGUGCUCUUUAUUCCUGAUCAGUUAGAAAAAUAAUACAGAUUUCAUUAACUUUACAUGCCUACAAGAGAACUUUCUUUUCAGAAACUGAUUUUAAACACAUAAAACCAGAAAAACCACAGAAGCUUUGACAAAAAGGAGCAGGUUCUUGCAAGACAGUCCUAAGUAGAGAGCAGGGCAGUGAAAUCACACAAGCCUGCAAAUAAGUCAGCUUUUCAUUUUCCUUAGAAAUAGUUACAAUUUUUAUUAUUUAUAUACCUGAAAGGUUUGAAAGAGCUAAAUAACAGUGAGAAAUCCUCUUCUUCCUUGAGGAGCAGCUGCUUUCCACAGGUCUGCAGCAGAGCUUUCUGGAGAUCACGUUAAAAUCUGUGGGCUUUCCUAUGAAUUACAGACCGUUACCUUGAAGUGGCUAAGUGUGUCUGGCUUGUAGUAUGAAACACAAAUAUUAGAAGGCAUAAGCAAAAUUUAACAGAUACCCACUGAAGACAGUUUGAAAAUAGGAUCACAGGAUAAUUCAGGUAGGAAGGGGCCUGGGGAAGUCAUCUACUGCAAACUCCUGCUCAAAGCAGUAGAACUUAAUGAAGUUUCCUUCAGAUUAUUUAAUGAAGCAUCAUUCCUUUAAUGCCUGCAAAGACAAAAAGGGUGUGAAUGUUCCUUGCUAAAGAGUUUUCUGCUGAAUAGUCUUCCAUCUCCACAAAAGAAUAACUGAAUAAGCUGUUAUUUUGAACAUUUGAAUACUGAUUUAACCUAUUAUCACUCUUCACAGCUCAGAAUAUCUUCCCAGACAGCUGUCUGCAGAACUGCAUUGCACUGUAAUGGGAUAAGCUCAGGAAAGAGGAGAACGGGCAAGGAUUAGAAAUCUGUGCAGUUCAGCACUGAGCAGUAACAACUAAGCUCUGUGUUAUUUCCCCUGCAGGUUUCUUUCCUAACAGGAGAAGAGCAAAUCUCAAGUCUAGUUUAAGAUUCACCUACCUUUACUAAGAUUCACUGGAAAUAAAUAAAUUAAGAAAGAAAGAAAAUGCUUCCUACAAGGAGUUUUUCAUCCAUGACCAGUAACUUAAUUCCUGACCAUCUCUGAAAUUUAAAAACAUCGCCACCGAAGA